GACGAACGCUGGCGGCGUGCUUAACACAUGCAAGUCGAACGGAAAGGCCCUGCUUUUGCGGGGUGCUCGAGUGGCGAACGGGUGAGUAACACGUGAGUAUCCUGCCCAUGACUUUGGGAUAACUUCAGGAAACUGGGGCUAAUACCGACUAGGAGCUCCUGCUGCAUGGUGGGGGUUGGAAAGUUUCGGCGGUUGGGGACGGACUCGCGGCUUAUCAGCUUGUUGGUGGGGUAGCGGCCGAGCAAGGCUUUGACGGGUAGUCGGCCUGGGAGUGUGACCGGCCACAUGGUGCCUGGGGUACGGCCCGGGCGCAAUAGGGAGGCAGCAGUGGAGAAUAUUGCCCAACAUGCGGAGGGCGGGUGCAAGAUCGCCGCGUUGGGGAGGACGGCCUUCUGGUAGGAAACCGCUUUCGCCUGUGACGAGGCGUGAGGGACGGUAAUGGAGAAAGAAGCACCGGCAAACUACGU
rnacentral:rRNA from 1 species